rnacentral:tRNA from 1 species
GGGUCGUUAGCUCAGUCGGUAGAGCAGAAGACUUUUAAUCUUUUGGUCGUAGGUUCGAAUCCUACACGACCCACCA